GGGAGUGAGGUGAAUGUAACAUAACUCUCUCUCCUGAAUAGAAAGGGCUACUUAAAGCUGGAGCUUCCCUCCUGGAAAUUGAUUUUGACUUUGAAGAAGAGCCAGAAGUUCCAUUUUACCAGGCCUGGUAAGGUGAAUGAAAACUCAAGGAGCUCACAGUUAACAGUUUGCUUUCCACCUUGGAGAAGACUUGGGACCAGGACUUUUCAGCAAUGCUGACACUGCUAGGACUUUGGCAACUCCUGGAGAUGGACAAAAUGCCUUUUGCAUAGAGGAUGUACAGGAGUCUUUGGAUGGCCAGGGGCAGAAUGCUACGGUUUGUGUCCAGAUUUUCCCCCCAAAGCCUCCUUCAGUCAUAGAGUCGGGUGUCUAGAGUUUGUGAUUAAUUCAUGGCCCAAUAUUGGGACUAUGGGUGUGAGUGCUACACCCACCAUGGCUUGGGUAGCUGUUAUACAAAUAAGGGAGAGAAAGAGGAUGCUUUCACACACAUCCCUUUUUGCUCUUGUUGCUUUUGCUGUUUUCCACUGAUAUAUAAUCAGGAGUACAGUUCUUUUGGAGAAAUACAAUGAAAUGAGUUAAAAAUAAAAAAGGAACAGUGUAAAAUAAUUUCUUGAUACAGUGUUAAAAAUGAUGAUGGUAGAUACAAAAUAGCUAUUUGGAUACAUUUUAAGAAAUGAUAUAACUAUGUUUUUAAAAAAUCAUUUUAACCCAUAUUUAUGAUGUUUUGCAUUUAGCUGAAAAACUUUUAAACAAUACAAAACUCCUAAGGAUUAAUGUGGCUUUUCAAAAACUUUUAAGGCAUAAGUGAACAAGUAAUUUUGCCUUACAGACCAUCUGGAUGAGCUCUUUUUGGGAACUGAAAAGCCUAUCUAUCAGUAUCUAGACAUCUUUUUCAAGCUCACUGAGUAACCAAAGGAACCAGACCCUGUGCUCCUGCACCCUGCUCUAAGUAGCAGAUCCAAUCCAGGAAGCAUGCAGGAUGGAGUGAGUCCUGAAGGACUGGCAGAAACAACCGAGUCACAAAGCGAGAAAAGAGGAUCUCAGACCAAGAAUGCUCUUCCCCACAUUCAGAGCUUCUGUGUACUUUUGAUGGUCCCUUAAAAACUCUUGAAGCAUAGUAGAGACUCCCACAAACAUACCACUUAUUUUUUACUGUAAAUUUUUACUUUAGUGGAAUAGUAGCUGGCUGUGGUCUCAAUACCUUUCCAUGAGGGAUACAAGAAGCAGUCUUUGCUUUUAUCCACUUGGUACAUUGAAAAACAAGGUGAGUGCACGUGUGCAAAAGUGUCAAAUCAGAAUUUACACUCACAUGAGGUUCCAUCUAACAGAUGUUUACCGGAGUAUCACAGAGGGUAUAAUCAUAUACCACUCUAGGAUUUGUUUUUUUAAAAAGUUUUUCUUUUGAUUUUUCUGGCAUUUACAUUGUAGCUCAUGUAGGUUUUUAUUUCUGGUAUUAUCUCUUAGGUUUUGUAAAUAGGCACACAGCUGACACAAAAAUGUUAAUUUUAAGUACUCAUUAAACAUUUGAUAUUUUAUUGACAUCUUAUUUUCUCAUUAUUUAGGUAUAAUAAUUGAAAUAAAGAUUUUUUAUAGAAUGCUACUGGUAUUUUCAUUGUAGUUCAUAUAGGAAUUUAUUUCUGAUGUUAUCUUUUAAUUUUAUAAGCAAGUACUCAACUGAUGUGAAAAUGUUGAUUUUUAUUUUAAAUGCACAGUACAUAUGAAGAAUUUAAUGCUUUGUCUUAUGGGUAUUUUAUAUUCCUGUUAACCACACAUUGCAUAAUAUAGAACCUCUUGCCAAAACAGCAAGACCAGUCACAUAUCAAGUAUGUCCUACAAAAAUGCCAGGAAACAAAUCAUAUGUGCUGCCAGUACAAGUGAUGUGUGUGUAUGGAACAUGCUGUUGUCAUGUGUGAAGACUGUUAGGUGUGAUAAUUGAAGCAAAGACUAUUUUUGUAGAGUGCUAUUGAUAUUUUCAUUGCAGUUCAUAGAGAGACUUAUUUCUGUUGUUGUGUUUCAGACUUUGUAUACCAAAAAUCAAUGUUGAAAUUUUUGAUCCUUUUUUAUAAACAAUAAAUA